AUUGAACGCUGGCGGAAUGCUUUACACAUGCAAGUCGAACGGCAGCACGGGUGCUUGCACCUGGUGGCGAGUGGCGAACGGGUGAGUAAUACAUCGGAACGUACCCAGUCGUGGGGGAUAACGUAGCGAAAGUUACGCUAAUACCGCAUACGUCCUGAGGGAGAAAGCGGGGGACCGUAAGGCCUCGCGCGAUUGGAGCGGCCGAUGGCGGAUUAGCUAGUUGGUGGGGUAAAGGCCUACCAAGGCGACGAUCCGUAGCGGGCCUGAGAGGACGGCCCGCCACACUGGAACUGAGACACGGUCCAGACUCCUACGGGAGGCAGCAGUGGGGAAUUUUGGACAAUGGGCGCAAGCCUGAUCCAGCCAUUCCGCGUGAGUGAAGAAGGCCUUCGGGUUGUAAAGCUCUUUCGGCAGGGAAGAAACGGCUUGGGAUAAUACCCCGGGCUAAUGACGGUACCUGAAGAAGAAGCACCGGCUAACUACGUGCCAGCCGCCGCCGUAA
rnacentral:rRNA from 1 species